AAUACAAGAUGCUCAGUUACAUUUGAAUUUCAGAUGAACAACUUUUUAAAUAUAAGUAUGUACCAUACAAUAUUUGGGACAUAAUUAUACUAAACCAUGUUUGUUGUUCAUCUGAAAUUCAAAUUUAACUGGGUGCCUUGUGCUUU
ensembl:miRNA